UGGGGAAUUUUGGACAAUGGGCGCAAGCCUGAUCCAGCAAUGCCGCGUGUGUGAUGAAGGCCUUCGGGUUGUAAAGCACUUUUGGCGGGAACGAAAAGGACUGUGCCAAUACCACGGUUCGAUGACGGUACCCGCAGAAUAAGCACCGGCUAACUGCGUGCCAGCAGCCGCGGUAAUACGUAGGGUGCGAGCGUUAAUCGGAAUUACUGGGCGUAAAGCGCGCGCAGGCGGGGGGGUCAGUGACUUGGG
rnacentral:rRNA from 1 species